rnacentral:tRNA from 1 species
AGUAAAGUCAGCUAAUAAAAGCUUUUGGGCCCAUACCCCAAACAUGUCGGUUAAACUCCUUCUUUUACUA